UUCCGGUUGAUCCUGCCGGACCUGACUGCUAUCGGAUUGAUACUAAGCCAUGCGAGUCAUUGUAGCAAUACAAGGCAGACGGCUCAGUAACGCGUAGUCAACCUAACCUAUGGACGGGAAUAACCUCGGGAAACUGAGUAUAAUGCCCGAUAGAACAUUAUGCCUGGAAUGGUUUAUGUUCCAAAUGAUUUAUCGCCGUAGGAUGGGACUGCGGCCUAUCAGUUUGUUGGUGAGGUAAUGGCCCACCAAGACUAUUACAGGUACGGGCUCUGAGAGGAGUGGCCCGGAGAUGGGUACUGAGACGCGGACCCAGGCCCUAUGGGGCGCAGCAGGCGAGAAAACUUUGCAAUGUGCGAAAGCACGACAAGGUUAAUCCGAGUGGUUUCUGCUAAAGGAACCUUUUGUUAGUCCUAGAAACACUAACGAAUAAGGGGUGGGCAAGUUCUGGUGUCAGCCGCCGCGGUAAAACCAGCACCUCAAGUGGUCAGGAUGAUUAUUGGGCCUAAAGCAUCCGUAGCCGGCUCUGUAAGUUUUCGGUUAAAUCUGUACGCUCAACGUACAGGCUGCCGGGAAUACUGCAGAGCUAGGGAGUGGGAGAGGUAGACGGCACUCGGGAGGAAGUGGUAAAAUGCUUUGAUCUCUCGAUGACCACCUGUGGCGAAGGCGGUCUACCAGAACACGUCCGACGGUGAGGGAUGAAAGCUGGGGGAGCAAACCGGAUUAGAUACCCGGGUAGUCCCAGCUGUAAACUAUGUAAACUCAGUGAUGCAUUGGCUUGUGGCCAAUGCAGUGUUGCAGGGAAGCCGUUAAGUUUACCGCCUGGGAAGUACGUACGCAAGUAUGAAACUUAAAGGAAUUGGCGGGGGAGCACCACAAGGGGUGAAGCCUGCGGUUCAAUUGGAUUCAACGCCGGG
rnacentral:rRNA from 1 species